CAGAACCAACUUUUAGCUAUAAGAAAUAUUUCGGCAGCAAAAUGGUUAAUAGUAUUAUAGCUUCAAAAGAGCCUAUUGGCUCACCCUCAAGGAUGCCCUGCAGUUGUUGUUAAAGUCAUCAGAUGAAGCUAGCCUUCUCAGCUAGCCUUUAGAUUUGUCUGCUAACAGUAAAAAUAGUAUAAUAAAUCGGUAGCAUAUGUUGCCAGGCAAGGAAAAGUGAUAUAAAUAAAGAGACUAGGAGACCCAAACCAAGUACAAUGUGAAAAGAAUUUAACUUUCAAUCUAUUCGUUGGCUAAUUACCAUUUGAAAAGUAAUUUGAAAGUGUUACUGUUAUUUGCUUAUAUUCGUCCUCAUUUUUCUUUUUUUCUCUUCAGAUUGCAUUCUUACCCAAAUACUCUUCGUGAUUGCCUGUUUUGCGGCUUUGGGAUUCUUCGGGGAGUGGAGAGCAUUCACAUGAAUUGACAUCCCAAUGUUCUCAUAAUGUUUUAUCUUUAGGCUAAUAGAAAACUGAUUUUUUUUGGGCCGGCCGAGUGGCGCGAUGGUUAAGAACUCGCUUGGGAUGCCAGAGGGCCCCGG